rnacentral:rRNA from 1 species
AACCUCCGCAAUGUGAGAAAUCGCGACGGGGGGAUCCCAAGUGCCAUUCUUAACGGGAUGGCUUUUCAUUAGUGUAAAGAGCUUUUGGAAUAAGGGCUGGGCAAGACCGGUGCCAGCCGCCGCGGUAACACCGGCAGCUCUAGUGGUAGCAGUUUUUAUUGGGCCUAAAGCGUCCGUAGCCGGUUUAAUAAGUCUCUGGUGAAAUCCUGUAGCUUAACUGUGGGAAUUGCUGGAGAUACUAUUAGACUUGAGACCGGGAGAGGUUAGAGGUACUCCCAGGGUAGAGGUGAAAUUCUGUAAUCCUGGGAGGACCGCCUGUUGCGAAGGCGUCUAACUGGAACGGUUCUGACGGUGAGGGACGAAAGUUAGGGGCGCGAACCGGAUUAGAUACCCGGGUAGUCCUAACUGUAAACGAUGCGGACUUGGUGUUGGGGUGGCUUUGAGCUGCUCCAGUGCCGAAGGGAGCUGUUAAGUCCGCCGCCUGGGAAGUACGGUCGCAAGACUGAAACUUAAAAGGAAU